AUAUAAUUAGAGAUCGUAUUAACUUCUCUAUUCACGAAAUAAUCAUCUACUACGAUAGCAGCGUAAAAUAAUUCUAUUGAACUAUUGCUAUUGCGAUCUACGUUUGUCUAUUAACGAUCAGGGCGCAAAGGAAAUUAUACUUAAUUCACGUAAUUAUAAGCUUCUGGUCCAGUGGACGAAGUCAGUUUCAGCAAUCACGGAACUAGCGACAACUACAUGGAGGAAAAACAUGACUUCUCAUUUUAUUGGAAUAAUAAUUCAUCUGUACAUUUGUUUAUUGGAAGCAGUUUGUAAUUCAGAUUCAGAUACUGUUUUAGGACCAGACAUUAACAUUCCACGUGACAAUGUGCAAGUGCAAAUAGGACGUCCGAAAUUUCUGAUCGGCGAAUGCCACGUACAAGGAGCUGCACCAUUGAAUAUAACUUGGAUGAAAAGUGGCAAACUGAUAAUUGAAAAUGAAAAGUUCACUUUGAUUAAGAUUGUAACAGAACAAAAUACAAAUACUUAUCAGCUUUGGAUAACAGAAAUGGCGUUAGAAGAUUUUGGACAAUAUACUUGCUCCGCCACAAAUUUGUACGGCACUAAGAAGAAAAAUGUUUUUGUAAAACGUGCAGAAGAACGUGAAACAAGACAGGAAUCUCAGUCUAAUUUUGCAGAUAAACAUUAUUUCAAUAUAACUGUAUUUCUUACUUGUUUUGCUGUUAUAAUACAUCUUUGAUCUAAAUUUGUUGAAACAAUUGUUGGUGUAAGAAAGACAGCUGACUAGAUUAAUGCAGUCUGGUUUAUAUAUAAAGGUAUACAAAUAUUCUCCUGAUACCUCCAAUGCCUUAUGUUGUGAAAAUGUCACACUCUCUUCACUUGAAAGACCCUUGUAACAACCUCUGGAGGAAUACUUAUACUACUUUUUGAAUGAAAAAAUUUCAUUCCGACCGACUUGCUUUGCAGAACUUUCCUAAUAGAUACACUUAUUAAUUUUUUUCGUCCUACAAAUGCAUGAACUAUUUGUCACUGGACGUUUAACAAACUCCUCAAACCAUUUACUUUUAGUACACUGAAUUUGAGUACCUAUUUUUUAUUUUUGUCAAUCAUUUGGUUUUUUUUUAUCAAUAUGUUUUCCUAAAAAAAAACAACAAACGUGCCUGCUGAUUAUGAAUAUAGUGGUAUCUUGUAUAGCAUUAUAGUUUUGGAUUCGAUAAUUUUCUUAAAAAUAUCCUUUGGUUCAAGAUUCCUAAAGACUCUGCUUUGGUUGGAGUGCUUUGAAUUUCACAGUGUGAUGUGCAAUGUGGUUUCUGGUUGCAGUUUUGUAAAUAGCUGUGUUGAGAACAAUAUGUGUCAUUCAUUUGUAUAUUAAAUAAUUUUUAUUUUAUUAUGUCUAAUUAUAUGCAUCAUUUUCAUUUGUCAAUAUUUUUUUAUAUAGUCGUGUAUAUGUAUGAGUUAUUUACAUAGUAAAACUAAAUUUAAAGAAAUGAAUAAAAGUGCUAGAAAA